rnacentral:rRNA from 1 species
UGGGGAAUUUUGCACAAUGGGGGAAACCCUGAUGCAGCGACGCCGCGUGAUUUAGAAGGCCUUCGGGUUGUAAAAAUCUUUUGUAUGGGAAGAAAAUGACAGUACCAUACGAAUAAGGACCGGCUAAUUACGUGCCAGCAGCCGCGGUAAUACGUAAGGUCCGAGCGUUGUCCGGAAUCAUUGGGCGUAAAGGGUACGUAGGCGGAUAAGCAAGUUAGAAGUGAAAUCCUAUAGCUCAACUAUAGUAAGCUUUUAAAACUGCUCAUCUUGAGGUAUGGAAGGGAAAGUGGAAUUCCUAGUGUAGCGGUGAAAUGCACAGAUAUUAGGAGGAAUACCGGUGGCGAAGGCGACUUUCUGGCCAUAUACUGACGCUGAGGUACGAAAGCGUGGGUAGCAAACAGG